rnacentral:misc_RNA from 1 species
GCAAUUAAACCUUUUUGGUUUAGACUCCACCUUUUGGAGUUUGAGUUUUAUAGAAUCUUGGAGACACUUUAGAAAAAGUAGUGACUCUUUAACAACUUUUUAGACAUUUUGUGAAAGUCAUGGUUAUUAGACCUGGACUGACCCGGCCGGUUGAACCAGUGAACCGAUUUUUAAAUCGGUUUGGGUUUAUAAUUGAAUUAGAUAAGAAAGUGACUCGGCGUGACCCCGUCAACCCGGCGGUUGAACUGGUAAACUAGUGUAACCCUG